CCUGAACACAGGUGCUGCAUGGCUGUCGUCAGCUCGUGUCGUGAGAUGUUGGGUUAAGUCCCGCAACGAGCGCAACCCUUGUCAUUAAUUGCCAUCAUUCAGUUGGGCACUUUAAUGAGACUGCCGGUGACAAACCGGAGGAAGGUGGGGAUGACGUCAAGUCCUCAUGGCCCUUAUGGGUAGGGCUUCACACGUCAUACAAUGGUCGGUUCAGAGGGUUGCCAACCCGCGAGGGGGAGCCAAUCUCAGAAAGCCGAUCGUAGUCCGGAUCGCAGUCUGCAACUCGACUGCGUGAAGUCGGAAUCGCUAGUAAUCGCGGAUCAGCAUGUCGCGGUGAAUACGUUCCCGGGUCUUGUACACACCGCCCGUCACACCAUGGGAGCGGGUUCUGCCAGAAGUAGUUAGCCUAACCGCAAGGAGGGCGAUUACCACGGCAGGGUUCGUGACUGGGGUGAAGUCGUAACAAGGUAGCCGUAGGGGAACCUGCGGCUGGAUCACCUCCUUUCU
rnacentral:rRNA from 1 species